GCGAAAUUCUUUAUUCAUCCCGUUUCUGGACUUGUAACUUGCGAUUUGAAGAGCUUGUAAGCCUGGUCGCACUGCAAGAAAGGAAGCAUAGUAGAAAACCCGGAGGGAAAACAAUAUGCUUUAAUCUGGGGGUAACUUUAGCCAGGACAAAACUGUGAUAACAGAUAUGCAGUAACAAAAUCGACAGACAGCCCUGAGGAACAAUAUGAGCAUUGUUUGCUUCCGCGACACUUCAAUUGACGCGUGCGUGUAUAUCUCAUUUCGUGUACAGUUUAACUUUCUUCUUUCUCGACGAUGCCAUACUGAACUGCCCCAUAACCAGGUUUAGCAACCUUUUGAUCCUUCAUUUCUUACUCCUUAGGGAAGGGACGUCUAAUUACGCGAGUCGCGAAAACUCCUCACUGGUGUGUUUUUCGGUGGCUUAUAUAAUAGGGUGAAUCUGAUCUCUUCCUUUGAGAUAAGUUACUGCAGUGAAACGCAUCUCUAAAAGUCCUAAGGGAAGGGACAUCUCAGCGAGCCACGAGAAGUCCGCACUUGUAACUUUGUGGCUUUUAGCAGAUAGAGUGAAUCUGUGCUCUUCCUUUUAAAUAAGUCACUGCAGUGAAACACAUCUCUAAUAGUUUUCACGUCUUAACAAGCCGCAAGAAGUCCAUCCUUGUAACUUUUGUGAUUUUCAGUGGAUACAGUGAAUCUGUUCUCUUCCUUUAGGAUAUUUGGGAUAAGUUACUGCAGUGAAACACAUCUCUAAAAGGCUCGUGGAACGAACUUUGCCCCCCUACUAGUCAAAUGAAAGAUUUUGUUUAGAAGUUGGAAUUUCUAUGAUCUCAAGAAGGUACUGAGAUAAAAGUCAAGGAUGGCAGAAGACAAUACCGCAGAUGAAGGUCAGUUAUGAUAGCAUCCAACAAGAGUAUUUCACUCUGCAUGUUUUCAAUAGAUUAUUCGAUUCAUUUGGUUGAAAUUCUUAGAUUGGACGUCAAAAAAACACAAUCGCGCGUGCAUUGCUUUGGAAAGGGAAACUUGCUCUUGAUAUUUGGCUUGAAAAUACAUAAAAUAGUAGUUGUUGGACUGCAACUCUUUGACUAUUCCGACUCUUCGAAAACUAAGCUGCG